UACUUACGCGUCGGUUUGAGCAGACGGCGGAUGCCUUUUGGGCCGCUGAGGCCGCCGUUGGGGGCGUGACAACGUUCCGGCAGUUACAGUUCACGUGCGGCAGCGGCGGAUCUUCUGCUAAGAGCUACCAUGGCCGAGCCGGGGACUUUGAACCUCAAUAAUGAGGUUGUGAAGAUGAGAAAAGAAGUGAAGAGAAUCCGAGUUUUGGUUAUCCGAAAACUUGUCAGGAGUGUUGGCAGACUGAAGUCAAAAAAGGGUACCGAAGAUGCACUGUUGAAAAACCAAAGACGAGCACAGCGACUGCUGGAGGAAAUCCGUGCCAUGAAGGAGUUGAAACCUGAUGUAGUAACUAAAUCUGCUCUUGGUGAAGAUAUCAAUUUUGAAAAAAUCUGCAAAAAGCCUGAUUUGACUGCGGCUGAAAGAGCAGUUGCUAGACUAGCUGUGCACCCUCUUCUGAAGAAAAAAAUAGAUGUGCUGAAAGCUGCUGUCAAAUCCUUUAAAGAUGCAAGACAAAAUGUUGUUGAAGAUAAGUCAUCAAACAGUGCUUCAAAAGAAAAUCAUUCCAAGGACACUUUGUGUUCAAAUGAUGAUGCCAAUAAGUUACAGCAUGAAGGAACUAUUAUCCGUGAACAAGAAGAGAAGGAAGCCAAAAUAUUGGCAAAGAAACCGAUAAAUAAUUCAAAAGAAAAAAUAGCCAAGAUGGAUCAUGGACCCAAAGCAAUGGGCGUCCCAAAAUCUCUAUCAAAGCCUUCCGAAAAAGAUUCUGCAACUCCCUCAGCAUUGCAGAAGAUACCUGCUGACCCCAAAAUGAAAGCAUUAAGUGAAACCAAAAAAGUGAAAGAGUGCAGUAGCUCACUUGAUGUUGAGAGUGAUGGAGAAGAAUUACAUGAAGAAGAGAAGGAAUAUUUUGAUGAUAGCACAGAAGAAAGGUUUUACAAACAAUCUUCCAUGUCUGAGGAUAGUGAUAGUGGUGAUGACUUCUUCAUUGGGAAAGUCAAACGGGCACGGAAGAAGGAAAGUAGUUGUCGUUUAUCAGAUAAGGAACAAAACCCCCCCAAAAAAUUGUUGCUUGAAGAAGAUAUACCUGAAACCCAUCAAAAUUUACAAAAUGAUAAAAACAAGCCACAUACAGAGGGAAGGAGGUUUGAAUCAGUGUUUUUCCAUUCUUUAUCUGGAUCUAAGAACCUUGAAAGGAAUCACAGAGAACAAGUUCCAAGAAGCAAAACCCCGGAUUUUCAGCACAUUGAACCUCAGAUCAAGAAUCAGUUUAAUAAGAAAGCACAAAGAGGAUUUGAAAAUACAAAACAGAAAUCACAGCUGCCUCUUCAUCCUUCAUGGGAAGCAAGCCGGCGGCGAAAAGAAGAGCAAUCCAAAAUUGCUGUGUUUCAGGGGAAAAAAAUUACCUUUGAUGAUUGAUCAGUACUAUAUUUUUCUUAACUUCUAAAUCUCUUCAAAUGUUUGACUUCUUGCUACUGGGAGAAAUUAAAGUUCUUGGUUAACUAAGUAACCAAAAAAGUUAAAAAAUAAUGUUUCUAUUCCUACCCAGAUUUAGCCAAACCAUGAGGUUGAGAGCACUAUUCAUCGACCCAACACUUCUAACCCCAAAUUCAAGGAGUUAGGGUUUGACUACAAAGUUAGAGGAAAGAGGCCACACAAGACUACUCACUUCUGACACCAACUGCAGAUUUGGAGAUUGCAGGGGAGGGCUCCCCAAAUACUGUCAGAUUCAAAAAUUUGCUUGCAGAACUCACUAAAACCUAUUAUAUUCCUAGUUACAGUUCAUUAUACAGUUUAGCGACUGAACAACAACAGAUAGUUCAUUACAAGGAAAGAGUACAGACUAUAACCAGCCAGAGGAAGAAAUGCAUAGGGCAAAGUCUGUGAGGGUUCUAAAAGCAAAGUUUCUCUUGUCCUCAAGUUGCAUUGCCAUCCUUGCAUCAAUGUGUACAGUGUUGCCAAUCUGAAAAGCUCACCCCAAUUUUAAUGUCCAAAUUUUUAUUGUAUCUUUCAUAUAUAGACAUGCUCAGUUGAUUGCCCAUGUGAUUGUUUCAGAUGGACUGAUAAUAUCAUAUGACCCAAAGACUCAUCCUAAAUGACAUGCUAGAUGUUAAACAUCUUGGGCAACCUUACAAGAUAGAUUUACAAGAUGGUGAAGUUUCUAUUAAUAUCAGCCAGGGUCCCUGCUUGGUUGCAUGGAACAGAUCCCCAUAACCCUAUCCAGCCACCGAGUGAACUUCACAGGAGCAAGAGAUAAGUAUUUGGUUAUGUCACUGAGAUUUAGAGUAUUAGCUCUUACUCCAGCUAAGAAUUAUUCUAAAACAUAUGUGUGAUUGGUAUCUUACUAUUCUAGUUUUUCCAAAAUGCAUAUUGUUCUAAUGCCUUUUUUGAAUAGUUGGGUUGUCUGUCCUUCUCUACUGAUUUGAAAUGUCACUGUAUAUUAAUAAUCACUCCAUUGUUCCUAGACUCACUCUCUUUGCUGCUUAUCUGUUUCUCUGACCAAAUACUGUAUUUUAAAUUAUUGUAGCCUUGUAAUUUAUUUAGACACUGAGUAGCUGUUUUUAGUUAAGUUUUUUUUUCCUCAGAAUUUUCUUAGCAAGUCUUAUGUCUUUUCUCUAGCAACAGAUUUUAAAAUCAGCUUGUAAGUUUUAUUUAAAAAAAUUGUCUUGGGAUAUUAAUUUUGAUUCCUUUUAGAAAUUUUUCGUAACCUGGAAUGUAUUUGUAUUUCAAGUGUGUUCUCAUUGUUGUUCUGUAGUUAUAUGAAAUGAUGGGUCUCUUUCCAUGGAUGGGCCUAAAAUGUGGAACUGCAGAAGAAAUGAUAUGAACAGGAGCAAGCUCAGUAGUCUUAAAUGUGACAUCAUUGUGCAGAAAUUAAGUAGCUUUAAGUCGGAAACAGGGAUGUUGUUUGUACUUGAACAUGUGUUUUCCCUCAAGGGAAAACUGGUUGUGAAAGAAAGUCAUUCUCCAUGCUGUUUUCAGAAUAUAAUUAAAAGGAUGUUUUUCAAUAAAGACGGCCAAAACUUAGAGGAUCAGUGAAUGGCAGAGUGUUAUUUGUGUUUAUUUUUAAAAUAAACAUGAUAUGAAUAUUCUUUGUUUAGCUUAGCGCUAUUAUGGACAGAAGUUCACAGUCUUUACAUACACCAACAAUAACCAAUUUAGCUCAAGUCUGAAAUAAGUGUGAACUAGUUCUGAUUUUUUUUUAAAAUCGUAGGUACCACCUGUGAUAAAAGAGAAAUUUAUAAGCCCUAUCAACUUUUUAAGGUCUGUAAGUGCUAUGUCUACAAUCUGAAAGUUCUUGUCCUUCCUGUUUCUAAUCAUCAUCUUUAUCAGUUUGAAUUCCUACCCUGCUUUCCUCUUUUGUUUCUUUAAUCUGUCCUUUUCUAAACAAAGCACUUAAAAAUCUAAGAAUAGAAGUUUAAUUUCUCAGCAUAAAAAUGGGUAUCUUUCACUAAUAAUAUUGCAUUUAAUGGAGAAAUAUUGGAAGUUAGAAACAUAACAAGGAUGGCUCUCAUUACACUAUUACUAUAUUUUCACUUGACAUUGUUUUAAAAGUUGAAGCCAGUACAGUUAGAAAUGGAAAGGAAGAAAUAAAAUCGGUUCUACCUCUGCCUCAUUUAUAGUGGUAUUUCUCAUUCAUUUUAUUCCAAUUUUAUUGUGGUUACAGUAAGGAUUUUUUUGUUUGUUUUUUUAUCCCCAUCUUCGUGUAAGGUAUCCAAAUUCCCUCACCCCUUUCUCCAGGAGGAUCCACAAGUGUCCAGGACUGUUGAAUGAGAGGUUGCUUAGUCACUCAGUUGUAUCCAGCUCUUUGCAACCUCAUGGACUAUAGC